AGUGAACGCUGGCGGUAGGCCUAACACAUGCAAGUCGAACGGCAGCACAGUAAGAGCUUGCUCUUACGGGUGGCGAGUGGCGGACGGGUGAGGAAUACAUCGGAAUCUACUUUUUCGUGGGGGAUAACGUAGGGAAACUUACGCUAAUACCGCAUACGACCUACGGGUGAAAGCAGGGGAUCUUCGGACCUUGCGCGAUUGAAUGAGCCGAUGUCGGAUUAGCUAGUUGGCGGGGUAAAGGCCCACCAAGGCGACGAUCCGUAGCUGGUCCGAGAGGAUGAUCAGCCACACUGGAACUGAGACACGGUCCAGACUCCUACGGGAGGCAGCAGUGGGGAAUAUUGGACAUUGGGCGCAAGCCUGAUCCAGCCAUACCGCGUGGGUGAAGAAGGCCUUCGGGUUGUAAAGCCCUUUUGUUGGGAAAGAAAAGCAGCAGGUUAAUACCCCGCUGUUCUGACGGUACCCAAAGAAUAAGCACCGGCUAACUUCGUG
rnacentral:rRNA from 1 species